rnacentral:rRNA from 1 species
GACGAACGCUGGCGGCAUGCCUAACACAUGCAAGUGGAGCGACGAACCAGGGCUUGCCCUGGGGCGAAGCCGCGAACGGGUGAGUAACACGUGGGUAACCUGCCCCGAUGACUGGGACAACCCGAGGAAACUCGGGCUAAUACCGGAUGUGCUGCACACACAUCAGUGUGAGUAGUAAAGGAAGCUUCGGCCUCCGCAUUGGGAUGGGCCCGCGGCCCAUUAGCUUGUUGGUGAGGUAACGGCUCACCAAGGCGACGAUGGGUAGCUGGUCUGAGAGGACGAUCAGCCACACUGGGACUGAGACACGGCCCAGACUCCUACGGGAGGCAGCAGUGGGGAAUCUUGCGCAAUGCGCGAAAGCGUGACGCAGCAAUGCCGCGUGAGGGAAGAAGGCUCUCGGGUUGUAAACCUCUUUCAGGAGGGACGAAGGUGCGGCGGUUAACAGCCGACCGUACUGACGGUACCUCCAGAAGAAGCCCCGGCUAACUACGUGCCAGCCGCCGCGGUAAAAC